rnacentral:lncRNA from 1 species
ACCGAUGGAUCCUGCCCUAUGGUAGAAGCUCGUCUAGGAUCCGGCUACAAAGAAGCUCGGCUGAAGUCUACCUGUAAUGGAAGUUCGAAAGAAAUUUAUUUAUAGUAGAAGCUCGAAUGGAAUUUGCUUACAAUAGAUAUCCAGAGUAGACCGCCUGCCGUAGGAGUUUGAAGUAGACCACUCGCUGUAGGAGUUCGGAGU